GAUGAACGCUGGCGGCGUGCCUAAUACAUGCAAGUCGAGCGAACGGACGAGAAGCUUGCUUCUCUGAUGUUAGCGGCGGACGGGUGAGUAACACGUGGAUAACCUACCUAUAAGACUGGGAUAACUUCGGGAAACCGGAGCUAAUAACGGAUAAUAUUUUGAACCGCAUGGUUCAAAAGUGAAAGACGGUCUUGCUGUCACUUAUAGAUGGAUUCGCGCUGCAUUAGCUAGUUGGUAAGGUAACGGCUUACCAAGGCAACGAUGCAUAGCCGACCUGAGAGGGUGAUCGGCCACACUGGAACUGAGACACGGUCCAGACUCCUACGGGAGGCAGCAGUAGGGAAUCUUCCGCAAUGGGCGAAAGCCUGACGGAGCAACGCCGCGUGAGUGAUGAAGGUCUUCGGAUCGUAAAACUCUGUUAUUAGGGAAGAACAUAUGUGUAAGUAACUGUGCACAUCUUGACGGUACCUAAUCAGAAAGCCACGGCUAACUACGUG
rnacentral:rRNA from 1 species